rnacentral:misc_RNA from 1 species
CUAGAAUUUCUUCUGAUAUACACUCUCAAUACACCAGGCCCUUGCUUCUCUCGGCCCAAACCUGUUGGUGGAUCCAUAUCAAUGCCACUACCUGUUAUUUACUGCAGUAUGUCUUCACUGGUAUCAUUGUUUUCAUCGCAGCAAACUGUAAUUGAAAAAAUAAUGAGACAAUCUUGAUGUGAAAUGUGAAGGAAAAUAUUACAACAAAGCGUGGAAUGUAUUCAUACCAUUACUAUCUUCUGUUAAAGUAUUUUCAACAGUGGCACCAUAUCUGGAUUGGAAUCAUAAUCAGGAAAAUUCGAAGUAAGAAAUAUUGUUGGAAAAAACAUACCUAGAAAACCUUAUUGAUCCAUUUUUUAAGCCCCUAUUGUUGUGAAAAUAUGGUUCUUGAGCUGAUUGUUUCCUACUUUACAAGUAACUAUAAGAAUUCUCAGGUGGUACUAAUUUUAUCAAAGGACAAAAGUAGGUUUUGUUCCUUGGCUUUUGGAAGUGACUAAUCCUUAUACUUUGAAAUGGUUUGAGACAUUGGGAUCAGGCAACUUGGUGUGCACCUUAUUGGUUCAAAUAAUUUACUUUCGUAAUCUAGGUGCCUUUGAAAGAGAUUGUAAUAGCCCCAUUAAUUGACUGCUUUCACUUCUUUGUGGUGGCACUUAUUUAUGCUUAUAUGCUCUUGGCUUCUCUUCAUUCUUGCAAAUGUUCCCUUUGUGGGUACUACUUCAGUUACAUGCCUUUAAACUAACAAUAAGUAAAUUAUAAUUAUGCAGUUUUAAUGAGAAUUCUUUUUAUCAAUCGAUUUUAGUUUGUUGAAAAUUUACUUCAGUGUCAGCAUAUCUCAUUGUUGCUUAUUGUAAUCUCUGCUGGGUUUCAGUGAAACAGGAAUAACUUAUAGGGAAUGGGCGCCUGGAGCUACGUGGGCUGCACUGAUUGGAGAUUUCAACAACUGGAAUCCUAAUGCAGAUGUCAUGACUCGGAAUGAAUUUGGUGUCUGGGAGAUCUUUUUGCCAAAUAAUGCAGAUGGUUCACCACCAAUUCCUCAUGGUUCUCGAGUGAAGGUACGCAUGGAUACUCCAUCUGGCAUCAAAGAUUCUAUCCCUGCUUGGAUCAAGUUCUCAGUCCAGGCACCUGGUGAAAUUCCGUACAAUGGCAUAUACUAUGAUCCGCCAGAGGAGGAGAAGUAUGUGUUCAAACAUCCACAGCCAGAGAGACCAAAAUCACUUAGGAUUUACGAGUCACAUGUUGGAAUGAGUAGUAAGGAGCCAAUAAUUAACACAUAUGCCAACUUUAGAGAUGAUGUACUUCCUCGUAUCAAAAGCCUUGGCUACAAUGCUGUUCAGAUCAUGGCUAUUCAAGAGCAUUCCUAUUAUGGUAGUUUUGGGUACCACGUCACAAACUUCUUUGCACCUAGCAGCCGGUUUGGAACUCCUGAUGAUUUGAAGUCUUUAAUAGAUAAAGCUCAUGAAUUAGGCUUGCUUGUUCUCAUGGAUAUUGUUCAUAGCCAUGCAUCAAAUAAUACAUUGGAUGGGCUGAACAUGUUUGAUGGUACGGACAGUCACUACUUCCACUCUGGAUCACGGGGUCAUCAUUGGAUGUGGGACUCUCGCCUUUUCAACUAUGGAAGGUGGGAGGUACUAAGGUUUCUUCUUUCAAAUGCAAGGUGGUGGUUGGAUGAGUAUAAGUUUGAUGGUUUCAGAUUUGAUGGGGUGACUUCAAUGAUGUACACUCAUCAUGGAUUGCAGGUAGCUUUUACUGGCAACUACAAUGAGUACUUUGGAUAUGCAACUGAUGUAGAUGCCGUGGUUUAUUUGAUGCUCGUGAAUGAUAUGAUUCAUGGUCUCUUCCCUGAGGCUGUUACGAUUGGUGAAGAUGUUAGUGGAAUGCCAGCAUUUUGCAUUCCAGUUGAAGAUGGUGGUGUUGGAUUUGAUUACCGUCUCCACAUGGCCAUUGCUGAUAAAUGGAUUGAGAUUCUUCAGAAGAGAGACGAAGACUGGAAAAUGGGUGACAUUGUACAUACACUCACCAAUAGAAGGUGGUUGGAAAAGUGUGUCGCUUAUGCUGAAAGUCAUGACCAAGCUCUUGUUGGUGACAAAACUAUUGCAUUUUGGCUGAUGGACAAGGAUAUGUAUGACUUCAUGGCUUUUGACAGACCAUCUACUCCUCUUAUAGAUCGUGGAAUAGCGUUGCACAAAAUGAUCAGGCUUAUUACCAUGGGAUUAGGCGGAGAAGGAUAUUUGAAUUUUAUGGGAAAUGAAUUUGGGCACCCUGAGUGGAUUGAUUUUCCAAGAGGUGAUCAACAACUUUCCAAUGGUAAAGCAAUUCCUGGGAACAACUACAGUUAUGAUAAAUGCCGGCGUAGAUUUGAUCUAGUAAGUUUCUACCUGAUUUUGUAACUCAAUCUCUCUAUUCUUAAUUUCUUUAGUCUCAUUUAGGCACUAUCUUCAUGAUUUCAUACCAGAUAAUGUAGUAUUGGUAGUAGCAACCAAUAUAUUACGUGAUAGCACAAUUUAUGGUGUGCAAAGACGGAGAAAUCUAAUAAUUGCACCUAGGUUUAUGUGGAGUAAUUUAAUACUGGAGGCAAAUUAUUUGCUGAAGAAACAUGCAUUCAACCAGGGACAUAAACAAAUCAUAACAAGUAAUCACCUUGUAGCAAAAGCAAUGGACGAUUUUCUGUUUUCAUAAGACUUUAAAUUGUCGAUAAUUACCUUUAUGCAUUGAGAAAGUAGGUAUUCCAGGAUAGAUUCUAGAUAAAUUUGGAUGCAUAUGGAUUCUGUUUGUUGUGUGCCCCCAGGGCGAUGCAGAUUAUCUAAGAUAUCAUGGAAUGCAAGAGUUUGAUAAGGCAAUGCAGCAUCUUGAAGAAGCCUAUGGUGUAAGUUGCAAUCAUACUACUUAUUUAGCCUUGUUUGGGUUACCGUUGUCCUGCAUUGCGGAUUAUCCAUUUGCAUAUAACUAAUUGUUUAUACUGCUAAAAGAGUUAUGAAAUACUUGUGUGUUUCACUUAAGUCUUAAUAUGGGUGGAGGCAGCUAUUAUCUAUGCUAGAUUAUCUUAUUCUCUCUUUCCUUUCUCUUCUAGUUAUGCAAUGGAAUACCAUAAAUACAAUCUUUCAUUUUCAACUCGAGAUGUUAUAAGGGCAUCAUGAUUUAUUUCCAUAGUUUGCAAAAAGGACAGUAUCUCAUUUUGUAACAGUAAUAUAACUUGAAUCAUUUCAAAAAAAUCCAACAAUAUCAUAGAUAAUGCAAUAUAUCAGCACUUUAUAACCAAAUAAUGCCCAUUCUUUCUUUUUUUUCUUUCCCUUUUUUUUGGGUCCUUACUUGAGAAUUUCAACCAGUUCUCAUAAGUAAUGUUAAGCGAUAUUAACUAUCAUUUACUAUUGGUAUUGAUGAAAUUUAAUGAAUAAGAAGUAAUGUUGUUAGAUAUUGUUUCAAUACAUGCUAAGUUUCUUUCAUUUAUUUGUUUUUGUUAGCCAUGGAAUUUUCUUCUGAUGUCUGUUUGUCAAACAAUGUUAGGUAUUAUGAAUUUGCAGGCUAUAGAGAACUUUAAAAUUAUAGCCAUAAUAAUGCAAAGAAAACUGACAUAAUGAAUAUAUCAGAUCACUGAAGCAUUGCAGAAUUACAGCCUCAAGUGAAAUGUAGUAGGCAUCAUUCAAGAUAAUGGUUAAGAGAACUUUUCAUGGACUGUUAUGAUCCUUUACAAAACGAUUUAAUCAUGCAUGCAAAAAAGCUAUGCUCUUGAUGGAUUGUUUGUUUUUGCAAUAAAAUCAUAGCUCUAAUCAUGUGUUUUACUAGACAAUUUGAGUAUCUGUUUAUUUAUGUUGUUUAGGGAUUUGAGAGUUUUUUGCCAGCAGAAUUAUUCGUGUUUUUGGCUUCUAGAUUACUUUAUUGUGUUGUGGAAAUUUGAUUUGGAGCUCUUACCAACCUCCAAAUGUGAAGCCCCGUGCUGGGGAGGAUAGUGUUUUGAUUUAACCACUAUCUUUUUCUUCCUUUAAAUGCAUCUAAGACGAUAUAGCACAUUUUUUGUGUGUUCUACUAAUUUUCUGUAGUUUAUUUUUUUUUUUUUGGAAAUUGAAAACGAAUGGAAUAUAAUCCAUCAAGGUUAACUCUUGAUGUAGUUCAUGACUUCUGAGCACCAGUAUAUAUCACGGAAGGAUGAAGGAGAUCGGAUCAUUGUCUUUGAGAGGGGAAACCUUGUUUUUGUAUUCAACUUUCAUUGGAAUAACAGCUAUUCAGAUUACAGAGUUGGCUGCUUCAAGCCAGGAAAGUAUAAGGUGUAGUAUCUUUUCUUUUCUUCUUUCCUUUUUUUUGCUAUUUCUUUUUUCCCUCUCAUUAGACUUGAAAAAGCAACUGAUGAAAUAUAUAUAAAGGUUACAUAGCAAAGAACAUCACUUGCUUUAAUUUGGGGUUGCAUUACCAACGAAAAUCAAUAAAGUUGUUAUUGGAUCCCGUUGAAGCUAACAAAAUUUCAAUGUCUCCUAAAUAUAACUGAAAUUGAUUUUUGUAUAAUAAAAUCACUGAAAUUAAAUUUCUAUUUAAAUUCAAUCCAAAAUUAAUGAUAAGUAUAUUGAACGUUUUCAAUAUAUUUUUCAUGCUUAAAGAGAGUGAGAAACGAAAAGAGAGAGAAUACAUUUUUGUCACACCUUGACCUGUGGGGAGAAAAAAGAGCAAGAGAGAGAGAGUGAGGAGUGAGAAAAAUGUCUUCGGUUGUCUAUUAAACCUAUAAAAAUAUAAUUGAAAAUUUCAAUAUGGUUAGUAAAUCAUAUUUCCAGUUUGAAUUUGGUUAGAUUUUGAUUAUGAUGGAUUGAUUUGUGAUGAGACGCUCAUCAAUUGAUUCUGUUUAUGCAAAUCAUUUGUCUUCAUCAAUGUGUAUUUUAAAAAAAAAAAAAAAAUUCAUGAAUACGUAGUUGAACUAAAAUUGUGUUAAAUGUCUCAGUUUUUCCAAUUGUAUUCUUUGAUCAUGUUCUGUGCCCUCUUCCAGAUUGUUUUGGAUUCAGAUGAUGCCUCGUUUGGAGGCUUCAGCAGGCUUAGUCAUAGUGCGGAGUACUUCAGCUUUGAAGGGAGGUAUGAUAACCGGCCUAGAUCUUUCAUGGUGUAUGCACCAUCUAGAACAGCAGUGGUCUAUGCUUUAGUAGAAGAUGAAAAGGAUGAAGUAGAACCUGUCGCCAGCUGAGAUAGAUCUUUAACAACAGGUUCUUCUGAAGCAGGAAUGGCAUUAUUUAUCUUCCUGUGCACCUGCAUUGAACGAAAUAUAUUGAGCCUAUAAUU